AACGAACGCUGGCGGCAUGCCUAACACAUGCAAGUCGAGCGCCUGUAGCAAUACAGGAGCGGCGCACGGGUGAGUAACGCGUGGGAACCUACCCUUAGGUUCGGAACAACCGCGGGAAACUGCGGCUGAUACCGGAUGAUGUCUUCGGACCAAAGAUUUAUCGCCUUUGGAGGGCCCGCGUCGGAUUAGGUAGUUGGUGAGGUAACGGCUCACCAAGCCUACGAUCCGUAGCUGGCUGAGAGGAUGACCAGCCACACUGGGACUGAGACACGGCCCAGACUCCUACGGGAGGCAGCAGUGGGGAGUAUUGGACAAUGGGGGC
rnacentral:rRNA from 1 species